GAUGAACGCUGGCGGCGUGCCUAAUACAUGCAAGUCGAGCGAACAGACGAGGAGCUUGCUCCUCUGACGUUAGCGGCGGACGGGUGAGUAACACGUGGAUAACCUACCUAUAAGACUGGGAUAACUUCGGGAAACCGGAGCUAAUACCGGAUAAUAUAUUGAACCGCAUGGUUCAAUAGUGAAAGACGGUUUUGCUGUCACUUAUAGAUGGAUCCGCGCCGCAUUAGCUAGUUGGUAAGGUAACGGCUUACCAAGGCAACGAUGCGUAACCGACCUGGGAGGGUGGGCGGCCCACAUUGAAACGCAGCACCGCCCACCCCCCGCCGGGGGGGAGCCGGACGGAAUCCUCCAGAAAGGGGCAAAGGCCUAACGGACAAGCGCCGGGGGAGUAAUAAAGUUUUCCGAAUCAAAAACUUGUUUUAUGGGAAAAAAAAAAUUGGAAAAGAACAUAUCCCCUUUUGGAGGUACCGUAACAAAAAACCCAGCACAAAUUCGGCA
rnacentral:rRNA from 1 species